CCACGGGUGGCUGCAGUGGGGAAUAUUGGACAAUGGGGGGAACCCUGAUCCAGCCAUGCCGCGUGUGUGAAGAAGGCCCUCGGGUUGUGAAGCACUUUCAGUGAGGAAGAACGCCUGGUGGUUAAUACCCAUCAGGAAAGACAUCACUCACAGAAGAAGCACCGGCUAACUCCGUGCCAGCAGCCGCGGUAAUACGGAGGGUGCGAGCGUUAAUCGGAAUUACUGGGCGUAAAGCGCGCGUAGGUGGCUUGAUAAGCCGGUUGUGAAAGCCCCGGGCUCAACCUGGGAACGGCAUCCGGAACUGUCAAGCUAGAGUGCAGGAGAGGAAGGUAGAAUUCCCGGUGUAGCGGUGAAAUGCGUAGAGAUCGGGAGGAAUACCAGUGGCGAAGGCGGCCUUCUGGACUGACACUGACACUGAGGUGCGAAAGCGUGGGUAGCAAACAGGAUUAGAUACCCCUGUAGUC
rnacentral:rRNA from 1 species